GAAAAGCGAGUGGUGGUCCCAUGCGCGUGGGAGGGAUAGGUUUGGAAAGAAGUGGUAAUUAAAAAUAGGCACACAGAGGAAAUGAGGAGGGUAAGAUAUGUCAUGCUUUUGGGAUCAUUGCAAUAAUUGAAGUGAUGCAGGCUUUAAUGAUAAGCUGCAGAGAGAGAUGCGUGAAUUAUUGGAUGGGUCCCUCUUCUCUCUCUCUCUAAACCAACCAUUGCCAUAAAGUCACAC
rnacentral:lncRNA from 1 species